CCCAGACUCCUACGGGAGGCAGCAGUGGGGAAUAUUGCACAAUGGGGGGAACCCUGAUGCAGCGACGCCGCGUGGGUGAAGGAGCACCUCGGUGCGUAAAGCCCUAUCGGCAGGGAAGAAAAGCGAACAGGUUCGCCUGGACGGUACCUGACUAAGAAGCCCCGGCUAACUACGUGCCAGCAGCCGCGGUAAUACGUAGGGGGCAAGCGUUAUCCGGAUUCACUGGGUGUAAAGGGAGCGUAGGCGGAUUGACAAGUUGGGAGUGAAAACUACGGGCUCAACCCGUAACCUGCUUUCAAAACUGUCAGUCUUGAGUGGUGUAGAGGUAGGCGGAAUUCCCGGUGUAGCGGUGGAAUGCGUAGAUAUCGGGAGGAACACCAGUGGCGAAGGCGGCCUACUGGGCACUAACUGACGCUGAGGCUCGAAAGCAUGGGGAGCGAACAGGAUUAGAUACCCUAGUA
rnacentral:rRNA from 1 species